UGGGUUGUGGUUCAGCGGUAGAACGCACGCCUAGCACCUGUAAGGCCCUGGGUUUGAUCCUCAGCACCACAU
rnacentral:tRNA from 1 species